rnacentral:lncRNA from 1 species
GCUUCUUUUUUUUUUUUUUUUUUUUUUUUGAGAGAGAGAAGAUUGCUCAAUUGCUCAGGCUAGGGAUUGAACUUUUGUUUUAUUUGGUUUUUUGGUUUGGGGAGGGUUUUUUGGUACUGGGGAUCGAACUCGGCUCCUUGCACUUGUGCAGCCGGCAGCAAAACCACUGAGCUAAAUCCCCGGCCCAAGACAACACUUCUUACUGAACUAUCCAAAAAAGAAUUUAAUUCAUCCAUUAAAAAAAAAAAAAGAUUACACAAAAGUUAUUUCUACAAUGACUUCUGUACUUCAGACCUCUUAUACUUAAAAACUUUUUAAAAACUUUGUAGACUCCAACAUGUUGAGGAAUUUUAUGUGAUUGAUCCUUCUCUUGUUGGAAGGGCUGAGAUGAGGUUAAUAAGUUAUGGAUGCUAUUUUUCUGAUGGCCUGGCUCAAUAAUAUGGAGAUUCUGAUGUGUUAGGGUUACAUAUACAUACUUUUCAAGAUUUUCUGUACUUCUCAUUUAUUGGAGGAUCUCACUUUCUUGGUACUGAAAAGCCUUAUUCAGACCCACAAAGGUCCUGGGUACCCAUACCUGAAAUGUUCAAAAGGGGACAAUGGACCAGUUCAUUCCCUUUCAAGUCAAAGUAACAGGACAAGAGAAAAUCCUGACACCCUUUUCCAGUAGCUGGUUCACCUCAGACACUCUCAUGAACACCUUUAAUCUUAAAAAAUUUUGAUCAUUAUUCCAAAAAAUACAUUGAAAGUGAAAAAUUAUUCAAUGUGAUGAAAUACCAGAACAAUAUCAUAUUUACAAAUGACAUAUUGAAAUCAAAAGCUGUUUCAUUUCACUGAGGCAUCUACCAUUCAGGGUUCUUUUAUGUAUUGUCAGAUUGAAAAAACAAAUUUUAAGCAUUAUAGUGAAGAUUAUGAACUUCUGAUGUUUUUAAACCUACUUUACAGUAUUACUUUUGUACUUAACAAAUAGUACCAGAUGGAAAUUUAUUAUUUCUUGCAUUUCCCAUGAGAGCUGUAUUCUUUAGGCAUUACCUCUGCUGUUUUACUUUCUUCCCAAAAUGAUUAGAGGAUUACAACCAUCAAAAACAAGCCCUGGCAUGGAAAUGUUCUCUCCUUUUCUUUCUCUUCUUUCUCUUCUUUCCUCCUUCCUGUCACAAAAGCUGAAAAAUAAGAUCCAAUCCUUCUCUCAUCACAUGUGCACACCCAGGACACUGAAUGAAUUCAGGGGUCAGUGCUACUGUCACAGCACCACCAGUUAAGACACAGAGACAGCUAUGAUGACAGUUUCUCCCUCUGAAGGGGUUAUAGUGUGGUCACCAGACAGGGCACAAAAAGUGGGAUAAGGCAGCAAUUAACUUAACCGCCAAGUGAGUGCUGGAAAUCUUGGCCUCUUUUGGGAACCAUCAGCUCCACCUUCCUACAUCUGUUUAUGAAGACCAUAUCCAGUACACUCUAAAUGAUAAAUAAUUCGAUUAUGAGAAGGAGAAGGAGAAGGAGAAGGAGAAGAAGAAGGAGAAGGAGAAGAAGAAGAAGAAGAAGAAGAAGAAGAAGAAGAAGAAGAAGAAGAAGAAGAAGAAGAAGAAGAAGAAGAAGAAGAAGAAGAAGUGACCCAUUUUUCCAAUUCCCUCCUUGACAGCUUAGCACAAGGAAAAUUGAAUCACCAUGAUGUGACCCAACUCUGUCACUCAGCUCCCCUCAAAUCUCAACACCUUGUAUCCCAAUGAUACAUUAUCAACCAAGCACAAAUGAGCUGGUGGAGGCCUCUUAAAAAAAAACAAAAAGAGGAUGUUUUAAAAUUUCAAUGAACAUUGAUGGCUUAUUUAGGAUUUAUGUUCCAGAAACAUCCUCUGUAGAAGCAAGCAUCUGUGUUCUUUUGAGAAGCUAGGAAUAGGAGACUUGGAGAGAAUGAAAGUUAGUGUCAAUCCAUGUUCUCAAAAGGUAUACUCCAUAGAGCUCAAGGACACUAGUCCAGGACAUAGAGAUUAUUUUACUGUUGAAUUAUGCUCUGGCACAUCUUAGCAUUUAAGAAUAUAUUUCUCCUUCUCACUUUCAACCAACUGCUUUUUUAAAAAACAGAGAGACUCAGUGUGAAAGUUUUUAAUGAAGAGCUGGGAAUAAGGAUUAGCGAGCUCUUGGUAGAAAUUGUCCUAUUGUGCUGCAUUUUACAAACAAGCAUGCCCUACUAAUAGGAGCAGGACUUCAGAGGCACCAGAGAAAUUAGGUGGCAUGAGCCGAAGAGUGGAUCUUAAAGUUAUUGCUGAACAUCUGUCAACCAUCUGCCAGGCAAGCUGAGAGCUCAGCACAGACGCACUCGAGUACUUCAGGGAGCCCAUACAAAGACGACACGUUCAGGGAAUGUCAGGAAGAAACUUCUAUUCCCUUCUAUGAUAGGAUCCAUGCUUUUCCAGUCUUCUUUUUCUCCUCCCACCACACCAUCACUUUCUUUUAUGGUGUGAAUGUUCGUGGUCCCUUUACAUCUCAUGCCUUCAAACAACACCAGAUUUGAACCUCAAAACAUUUUUCUUUUCCUUUUUCCAUCCCGUCAAGCAGUUUCAAAAAGAAAGGCAGCAGUUAUUAAAGUGAAUCAGCAUCAGCCAGCCAAUAAUAGGUCCUAAAUUGCUUUUCCCAGGAGAACCGCCUGAUCCUGAAAUAGGUGAGAAACCAACAACUGUCCCAGCAAUUGAAUUGGGCUAAAAAUCAAUGGGCACCUUUUUAAAAUAAUCUUUUGGUGAAAGUGGACCCCAAGAGUCAGCUGGUAGAGUCCCAAACCUUUCCCUCUUUCAGACAUGUUAAGAGAUCCUGGCCAACUUAAAUUUUUGUCCCCUUUGCCCAAUGUUUAAAAUGAAGCCGGUUUGCCUACAUUAUAAGACAGUUGUGAGGUGCCAUUGACUCCUAACUAGAGUACUUCAAAAUCCAAACAUAAAGGCCAAGGUCAGUGGAGCCUAGUAGGAGACUAGCCUUCUGGUUGUUAAGUCACAUCAAAAGAAAACAGUGUGGCCAUGUCCAGGGACAUGGAAAUUUAGAGAGCUUUGCUAAGCUAUUCACCAGAUAGACUUCCAGGGAGCCAACCUAUCAACACAGGAAGACACCACCCAGCCAAAAGCCAGAGAAAUUGACUUUCCUUGUGUGCAUAAAGCCCUGAAUUCCCACCUGGACAUGACCUACAGCUCACCUUACGUAUUCUUACAUAUGCCCUUAAUGCAGUUAAGCUUAUAAAUAAGCCAACACAUGUGUAAACAUGGCAUUCUCAUGUGGCCCGGUGGCUCUGAGCCUGCACUACGCUUACCCUGCAUGAUGAUGUUGGAAACUCUAAAGUGCACUUCGUGCACAGCAGUAUUUAAACUCAUCAUCACUGGGCCAGGGAUUUAGCUCAGUGGUUUCGCCUGCCUCGCAAGCGCAGGGUCCCGAGUUCGAUCUCUGGUACCAAAAAAAAAAAAAAAAAAAAAUCAAUAAACUCAUCAUCACUGAAAUAGAAUCAUGGUGAAAAGUUGGUUUGUUAUCUCCCACUGAGCAGAGACUAGCAGGAGGUGAUAAAGAGCACACCUGUGGUAGCAUAUGACCUGCAUUUACAAGUUUAUCUUCCAGAUUAAAGUGUGCCGUAAGAACAGGGUACUGCUAAUAGGGUCUGCACCAUUUCCGGGGCUCGGUUGACCUACAGGACAUUACUACUGGCUUCCGGGGGAACUGUCCAAAAUGGAGAUUCCUCCCGAGGAAGCCAGGAAACAGUUCUCAAUGUUACUGACUCAAAGUUUUAUUUUGCCAGUUUUUCUAAUUUUUUCAGUGAGCAUGGCAACUGCAGCAGAGGUUAGAGCUGAGGAAAGCGGGGCUGAGUAUUCUUUCUGUAAAGGAAGGAAGGACUCCAUCCCUGUAAAAUGAUACAGAAUGUCACUCUCAAAAAGUAACAGCAUGUCAAUUAGAAUGAAAGAAGGAAAUUAUGUAUGUAUGCCUAUUAUUCUUUGUGAAUGUCUUUCAUUUAUCUAAAAUUAUAUUAGAAGCCAGACUGAUAAAAUAAAAAAUUCAAAAUAG